rnacentral:lncRNA from 1 species
GUGGUUCGGUGCAACCGGGGUGGCAAAAAAAGUUUCAACCAUCAUGAAUGUUGGGAGGUGGUGAAAUAUUGCAAACGCUUCAUAAUUAUUCCAACGGGUCCGCCGUUGUGUUAAACGAGACGCCACUCCGUGAUUCAAUGACAUCAGAUUCACCUCUCGAUUCCCCUAUGAGUCAAGACUCACCCAUCGAAAAGGAGCCGAGGCCCAUUGGCCGAAAGGCUGCGAAGGCAAAGAAAGCGGGUAAUUCAAGCAAUAAUAAUUCAAAGUUUUUGGAGGAAAUUGCAAGGCAAAACGGCAUAAGAAUUGAAAUGGAGCAGAAACGCCAGGAUAACGAGUUGGCCCUUCAAGCCGAGUAUGCACGAGAAAGGGAGUAUUUGCGCAAAAAAGAUAUGGACAAGACGGAUCGGGAAACCAUGGCGAUGGAUACAAGUCAUAUGUCCCCUGAAACAAAACAAUUUUGGAAGCUAGAACGAAGGGAUGUUAUGAGAAGAAGACUUUUCCGGGAUGAUGGGCCUAGCAACACGGAUUGGUUAAAUGAUGGAAACCAUUAAAUUAGUUAGCAUACCUUUUAUGUAUUUGUAUUUUUCAUGUUUUCUAUUAAAGUUGUUGUAAUUCAUGUAUUUUAUUUUAGUAGUAGUAAUUCUUAAUGACUUG